CAUGCCACCCUGAAUGUACGUGAUCUCGUCUGAUCUCGGAAGCUAAGCCGGGUCGGGCCUGGUUAGUACUUGGAUGGGAGACCACCUAGGAAGACCAGGUAUAAAAAAAU
rnacentral:rRNA from 1 species